UUUUCAAUAUUAAAUACAUAAAUAAUUAAAUUUUUUACUCAUAAAGUCUAUUUAGGGAUAAAUACGGAACAAAUAUAAAUUAUUUAGCUUCUCGAAAGCGUAUUCGAAACGACUGCAUAUUUUUAAUUUGACUAUCGACAUUAAUUUUCUCAUCUAAUUUUUAUUAAAGUAAAAUCGAUAUUUGAUUAUAUUACUUAUUUAACGAACUGUCGACGAAAGAUAGUAGCUUAUGAUCGUCGGACACCCCGUAUAUGCGCGUAUAUAUACAUGCACGCUACGCUUACACGCGCGUUGCUGGACGCGCACGCCCGCGCGCAGGACCGCUCUCGCUCGAGGUAUGCUAUUAUCAUAAUUGCCGCCAAUAACGGCCCCGUGAUUGGCGCACUUCACGCUUUCCUGGUGCUCCUUUUCGGAAGUUUUGCAUCCUUUGGCCAGGUUACUCUGUUCGCUUCGGCUCUCGUUCUAACUUGUUCUUCUUCUCGCUCUCUCUCUCUUUCUCUCUCUUUCUCUUUCUAUAUCUCUCUCAUAAUGUGGCAAUUCUUUCCUAUGCGUUUACAUGCGUCUCCAACUGCGCUCUGUGGACUUUGAAAUUCCCAGGAGAUACCGAAAAAAAGUGAGACUGAGAGGGAAAAGCAGAAAGUCUCGAAAAUGAAUGGUGAGCAAUUCACCGAGGACGAGGUCGGUGCGACAUUUCUCGGCCAUCGACCGCUGCCUGUCACAUCUUCCUGUCUCUUUUCCUUUUCCAUCUGAUCGAUCGACGAAUGUUAUUUUGCAUGGAAGUGAGAAAUCUGAACAAACCCCGAGGAGGUCUGCGAAGGUGACGUUAUUCGCUGCGUGAACGACGCUCUGAUCACGCAUGCUGUAGAGAACGGUGGUCGGAUUUAGUUGCAAAAUUCGACCUGAUUCUUAUAUCGAUGUCUGCUAUCCUUGCUGUUCGUAUCUUGACAAAAUUGUCGCACUGAGGUUUGCGAUGCUUUGUCUUAAAAAUUGGUCAUACCAUAAAUACAAUGGGAUUGGAGAUUUAAGGAAAAAAAUUCAAUGGUUUGGCGUAGAAGGUCUCAUCGUGCAUGAUAUCACCACUUCUGAAAGCAUCGCAUGUCUUAGUUACGUGCGCGGUGGCGGCUCGUUGUCAAAACGCGAGCGACAAGAAAGGGACAGUUGAUGUUGAAAAUCGAGUUGAAAGUUGCAUCGUCAUCAAAUCCGAUCACUCUCUAGAACGACGUUUCUUUAUAUUGCGUUUUUUUUUUGUGGGUGAGAAAUUUUGUAGAAUCGCAAAAGAAUGGAUUACAACCAUCGAUAGAUUAGCGCGAUUGAUAAACGAGCGAAUUCACAGCGGGAUAUUCAGUGGACUUUGUCAAACUCACGUGCGAUAAGCCACGCACUAAUCACGGCGAUGUGUCAUCGAGUUGCGCGUUAAAGGUUUUAAUCCUCGAGCAACGGAGAAAGAAAGAGAGAGAGAGAGAGAGAGAGCGAUUUGUUACACCUGCCAAUAUGAGUAAUGUCUAGCAAAGUCAGGAUUCUCUAACGUAUAGAAGUGCAUUUGUGCAUGAUGAAUCCCAUCAAAAGCGAGCUGCGUCGAACGAUAUAGAUCCUGCUCGAAUUAAACGCAGUGAAAAAAAAAUCUAGUUUUUGCUAGGCGGUACGAGUGUAAUUAAAAGCGUGUGUAAAAAAAAAUCUGGUUGAGAGGAUUUCGUGGUUCCCUUUAUGCAGUUGCUCUUUUGAAUUGUUCACCGAGGCGUAUGAAGUAUUUUACACGUUAUUAAUGAAAUUUUUAUUAGAAUUUGGUUUAUGAUGUUGUGUGGAGAUACUCCGAUGGAAAAGAUUUAAUAAUACUUUUGACAAUAAAAUAAAAUUCGAUAGAACGUAAUUUAUUUGAUUAAGACAGGAGUCCAUAAGUUAUAUGACGUUAUUUCUCAUUCUUUUAUUCUGUUAAAUCCGGUUGGUUUUUUAACUCUUUUAAUAUACUAUGUAAAUAAUACAAAUUGUAGAAACUCUUACAUCUUUUACAUAUUCAAUUUUGCAUUGCGCCGUCAUAAUUUGCACUCGCACCAACCGCACGUAUCAUUAAGCAGAGAAAAGAUUAAUUUCACUCUAGUUUGAGAGAAGUUGCGAUAUUGCGUGCUGCGCGAUAACACGCCCAGCACCACACUUUAUGUCGCGUACGCCACCACCGCGCCCCGUGGCAAAGUGGCUUUCGACGUGAAUGCAGCUGCACCGAGCGAGCGACACACAACCUUCGGCGUUUUCCGCGCGUACCGACACGCCGACACGCUCUUUCAGGUCGCCGAAAGGCAAUAUCGACUGGCGAGAUACGUCCAUACCAGACGUCGUCGCCAGUUGAAUCUUGCGCCGAACUCGCUGGCUCCAUUACCAAACUGUCAACGCGCGCUCGGCGCUGUUAAGCGUGGACCACGCGAAUUUCACCGCACACAAAUUUCCCUGCUCCACAUCAGCCCGGGAGAUCGCUAAUCCGUACGGACUAAAGUGCACAGACGUCUAUACUGUAAACUAGACCGCUAACGUUCCUUGUUUGGUGUAGCCGAAGUCCGCAUUUACACGCCUCCCGAGGAAGUCGUUCCAGUUCUAGGAGUUGCGCGAAGUGUGAUAUUGUGUUCUCUUCAUGGUUCACGUAACGCAAAAUCGCGCUUUGCCCAGUCUUUGCGAGUGCAUGUGAGUAGAAAUAAAUAGCGGUAUAUACACGGUAAAUGUACAGCGAUGAUGCAUUAAUUAAACAAAAGCAAUUAAACAAGAACGAGGAAGAUAAAUUGUGACAUUUCAAUGCUUUAUUUAGUUUCUUCCUCUCUCUUUCUCUCUUUCUUAAGUGUAAUUCUUUUAUUGCUUAUGUCAAUGGCGGUCAAGUUUUUUUUUUUAAACUGAGGAUCAUUUCCAGAAAUAGGCAAAAUCUUGCGAGUCGCAUAAUGUUUAUUUUGCUUGCAUAAAAUAGAAGAUAUGAUUUUAUAUUUUUCGACUAGUCGCGAGUCGGCGGGCGGAUCGAACGCGGGCCCGCAGGUUGAACAUCACUGGCUCGUACUAUCGAUUUAUUGGACUUAUAAAAAGGCAACUAAAAAUAUGACAAUUCUUAUUGGAGUUACAUUUCCAUAACAUGACUCAUGAAAGUGUAAAGAGGUAAUAAAAGGGUCGUUGCGUAUCCGCGGUAGUUGGGGUGAUUGCAGGGCGUAGGUUAAGUCCGGAAUGGAAAGAAGCGGGCAUUUCAACGGAUUCCGGAGGGAAGGAAAGCGUGUACGCGUGCUGCGUGAUUACGUGCAGUUACAAGCCCCUUAAAUCGCGUAAAAGAUAAGACCGGCUUUACAUUAAGCGUGCGUCUGACAGAAGUGCGCACAACCCCCAUAAAUAGCCGGCCACCACCUUUCUCCUUUUUUUUUCAUCCUUUCAUUCGCCGCUUGACGUGAAAGUCAUCAGAAGAUUGUCGAUUUGACAUAGGUCUAACAAUAUAAGUGUGCUGUCUCUCCAAGUAUCGACACUAUCGAUUGACGCAUCGUGCCACUCCUCUAAAUAAAAUGAUAGAAUGGUUAUUAAUAUAAAUGUCUCUCUCCUAAAUGGAUAUUAAUUCAAAAAAUACAAUUAAACAAAAAAUUUACUAUUUAGAGGCUUAAAACAUGAUGCUUACAACAUAUUUGUUAUUAAUUGUAAUAUUCGAGCGAUGAUCACUUUCUGAAAUAAGAACGCAUUAAUUUGAUUAUAGAUUAAAUUUCUUAUUAUUAAUUAAAAGCACCGUGCCUGCUUCUAAUUAACAUCAUGAUACUCGCAGGAUUAUGAUUAAUGACGGAAAUAGUUAAUACUCGGAGACGGUUUUCUCGGUCCAAGGACGACGAGUGUCUGUCUUAAUGAGAUACCGCAAAAAUGAUGACGUGAAAGAAAAGGAAAUAUUUAUAUCGCGGAUGUACACUCUGACAAGAUAAUCGCACACGGACGAUAAAACGGAAUUUAUUUCGAUUUUAAAUUGCCUCGCAUAUAGAUGCUUAAUGAAGGGAAGAAAUAACCUCGGUGCAUUUGUUUAUGACGAUAAAUUUUCGUUUAUCGUCGAUCUGUUGCAUAUAAUAGGCUCGUUUCAUCGAUUACAGCAAUGAUGCGAAAGAAGAGCUUAAGAAAGCGGGUAUAUACAUGUAAAGUAUUUUUUUUAUCUGAUGGAUUUUUAAAUGGAUAAACACUUGAAUGGUGUUAUGCAUUAUUUUACCACCAGGCACUAAACUGAUUUCGGAAUUUUCAGAUCGACGGCAUUCGAUUGCGGAAUAAACGAUAACAAAUGUUUCCAUAUUGGUAUAUAGACGGGUUUAUUUGCCGCACGACGAAAAUGUAAUAAUCUAUAACAAAUUAAUUAUAUUCUUAAACAAG